rnacentral:rRNA from 1 species
CUGGCGGCAGGCCUAACACAUGCAAGUCGAGCGCACUCUUCGGAGUGAGCGGCGGACGGGUUAGUAACGCGUGGGAACAUACCCUUUUCUACGGAAUAGCCUCGGGAAACUGAGAGUAAUACCGUAUACGCCCUUUUGGGGAAAGAUUUAUCGGUGAAGGAUUGGCCCGCGUUUGAUUAGAUAGUUGGUGGGGUAAUGGCCUACCAAGUCUACGAUCAAUAGCUGGUUUGAGAGGAUGAUCAGCAACACUGGGACUGAGACACGGCCCAGACUCCUACGGGAGGCAGCAGUGGGGAAUCUUAGACAAUGGGCGCAAGCCUGAUCUAGCCAUGCCGCGUGAGUGACGAAGGCCUUAGGGUCGUAAAGCUCUUUCGCCAGGGAUGAUAAUGACAGUACCUGGUAAAGAAACCCCGGCUAACUCCGUGCCAGCAGCCGCGGUAAUACGGAGGGGGUUAGCGUUGUUCGGAAUUACUGGGCGUAAAGCGCGCGUAGGCGGAUUGGAAAGUUGGGGGUGAAAUCCCGGGGCUCAACCCCGGAACUGCCUCCAAAACUGCCAGUCUAGAGUUCGAGAGAGGUGAGUGGAACUCCAAGUGUAGAGGUGAAAUUCGUAGAUAUUUGGAAGAACACCAGUGGCGAAGGCGGCUCACUGGCUCGAUACUGACGCUGAGGUGCGAAAGUGUGGGGAGCAAACAGGAUUAGAUACCCUGGUAGUCCACACCGUAAACGAUGAAUGCCAGUCGUCGGGUAGUAUACUAUUCGGUGACACACCUAACGGAUUAAGCAUUCCGCC